rnacentral:lncRNA from 1 species
GGAGUCAUUCAGAUUGCCACCAAUGACAACAUUCCAUCUUUGCUUACUCAUUUCUUAAUUCCAUGCCUCAGGAUAUGUGUUGAAGACACAUGGAAGUGCAGUUGCCUAAAUCACUGGCUGACUCCACUCCUUUCAGAUAAAUAGCUAGUGGUCAGAUGCCUGACUUCCCUGAUAGCCCCCUUUGUUUAAAGUUCCGAGGAACUCCGUACUGCUAAAGCCAUUCUUGGUUAGUUGUGCAUAGUAACAUGCCACCAAGAGGCACAUGCGCAGUGUGCAACAUCAUAGACACUAAGAUGAAAGGCCAUCUCUCUGUUUCUCUCCUUCAAGGCAGUUGAUGUACUAAGGCUUUAGACAGUGAGUAGCCCAGAAUCCUCGGUUAUGAAGAAAUCCUGAACACUGAAAUGUUCCAAAAAUUCCCCCUGGUUCCCCAGAUGCUACUUGGAAAAAGAUGCAUUCAGAAACUAGUCCCGUCCCCCAUCCUUACUCUUCUACUUGCGUAGAUAAACUGCAAAGCAAAGUUGGCACUGCAGUCACCACGUUAGCAGUUCAUGAGAGAUGGAGGACUUGAGACAAUGAUUUCCUACCACACAGGGCCUUCGAGGUCUGUAGUGUAAUCGCUGGAACACAGGCCUUCUUUUCAUAAUAACUCACACCUGCAAUAGCAACUCAUGAUUUACAACUGGGCCUGAGACACAUCUUGGCAGGAGCCUCCUAAUCCAGAAUAGUUAUUAUUAAGUGUCCCAUGGAAUGUUUGUGUUUCUCAAGCUAUGCCACUUGGUAAAUUCCAGGAUGAUUUGGAAAAGGCCGCUUGCCUCUCCUGUAGGCUCUCCCCAGCAGCUUCUGAAGUGAUUCCGUGUGACUCAGACCAUCCCUUGGUCCCUCAGCUCCUGCAAAACACAUCAGAAGGCCGCUCAAAGUUGAAGAAAGCUCAAGAGAACCAUCAGGAUUGUUUUGGCUUAAGAAGACAAAAGGCACACCCUGAUUCGUUCUCUCCCAUCCAGUCCAUCAGCACAAACCCUUGUUAUGCUAUGGAUAAUGGAUUAAAGUGAACUGUAUG